rnacentral:rRNA from 1 species
AUGCACUCGUCAUUCAUCGUCGACGGUGAGACAUUCCAUGCUCACCGAGCAGUGCUUGCUGCCCACUCACCGGCCUUCAGAGCAGAGCUCUUCAAUUCAAUGUCUAAGGCUACAAUGUCAUCCAUCACGCUGCACGACAUCACACCUGAAACAUUCAAAGUUAUGCUCUGGUUCAUAUACACGGAUGAAUUGCCCAUGGAAGACGAGCAUGAGGACUCUUCCACUGAGAUGUUCCAAGACCUGUUUGCUGCGGCUGAUCGUUAUGCACUAGACCGACUAAAGAUUAUUUGCGCCCAAAAGUUGUGA